UACGUAGGGUGCAAGCGUUAAUCGGAAUUACUGGGCGUAAAGCGUGCGCAGGCGGUUGUGCAAGACAGAUGUGAAAUCCCCGGGCUCAACCUGGGAAUUGCAUUUGUGACUGCACGGCUAGAGUGUGUCAGAGGGGGGGUAGAAUUCCACGUGUAGCAGUGAAAUGCGUAGAGAUGUGGAGGAAUACCGAUGGCGAAGGCAGCCCCCUGGGCCUGCACUGACGCUCAUGCACGAAAGCGUGGGGAGCAAACAGG
rnacentral:rRNA from 1 species